ACGAAUUAUGUGUCUUUAUUGACACUUCUUCAUUUCAAACACCUGUGAACGAUUUUAAAUCUUUGCUUUGGCCAAAGAUGCGAAAGUAUUUUUGGCCAAAGGUUUACAAAUCAAACUCUUUAUUUUAACUAUUUUGUCUGAAAAUGAUUAUAUUAAUAAAUCA
rnacentral:misc_RNA from 1 species